UAGAACUCUGACAAGCUGAGGGAAUUCGAAAGUCUCAGGGACGUUGACUACCAGGAAUCAGAAAUGAUAGUGCAAAGCAUCCUUGAUGGUGUAUUGGACAGGGUUUGCAGAAAUUUUUCUGGUACCGAGUACAGUGUUGGCAAAGAACAGUCAGUUCUACUGCAAACUUCAGACGAAAGGAUUAAAGCACAAAGGGAUUUGUA